rnacentral:rRNA from 1 species
AUUGAACGCUGGCGGCAGGCCUAACACAUGCAAGUCGAGCGAGCGGCGGACGGGUGAGUAAUGUAUGGGGACUGCCCGAUGGAGGGGGCUACCUGCUGGAGACGGUGACUAAUACCGCAUACAGUCGGAUAACCCAUGUGGGGUUAGCUAGUGGGUAAGGGAAUGGCCUACCUGAGCGACGAUCCCUAGCUGGUCUGAGAGGAUGAUCAGUCACACUGGGACUGAGACACGGUCCAGACUCCUACGGAGGCAGCAGUGGGGAAUAUUGGACAAUGGGCGAAAGCCUGAUGCAGCCAUGCCGCGUGUAUGAAGAAGGCCUUAGGGUUGUAAAGUACUUUCAGUUGGGAGGCGUUACCGACAGAAGAAGCACCGGCUAACUCCGUGCCAGCAGCCGCGGUAAUAC